CUCAGUCACCCGGAGCUCCACAGGGCAGCUUGCCAGGCAGCAUUCCCAGAUUAUGUGAGAGAUGGCCUUCCCUUGCUUCAAGUAACACCGGCAGAAGAGGAUCUGAGAGAACAAGCCUGGAGCUGUGGGCAGCCCCUGUGGCACCACAGGGGAUGUGAAGUAUGAGUAGGAGUGAAGUCAGCAUGAAGAAGAAAAGAGCCAAGGGGAGGACAGACUCAAGCCCUGAUCAGAGGGUUGAGCCUUGGAACAAGUUGGUCCUAAAGCUGGAUGUACCCAGGAUUUUUCGGACAUGAGGCAAUAAAUCCCCUUUUGUUUAA